rfam:Gossypium raimondii Chr02_contig_113, whole genome shotgun sequence.
UAUGACAUUAUGAGAUUAUGCCACAUCAUCACUUGAAAAUUUAAAUUUUUAUAUAAAUUUUCGGGUGAUGAUGUGCUACAAUUUUAGAAUAUCAC